AUGCACUUUCUUCCCCGUCUUCCACUCUUCUCCUCCUCUCUUCUUCUUCCUCCUCUCUUCCCCAUCGUCGGCCGCACACCAUUUCCCCCCGCUCACUGCUCGCCCGCCCGCGCUAUCUUCCUUGGUAGCUCGCGCUACCAUAUAAUUGGAAUUAACCGAUGCAAGUCGAAGAAGGAUUGGCCGGUGCUGCCGACUGGCAUCAAGUUCGAUCUCAUGGAUCAGGAGCUGAUCGAGCACCUUGAGCCCAAAGUGAGUGCUGACAGCGCGAGAUCUCACCCUCUCAUCGAUUUGUUCAUACCAACCAUCGACAGCGAGCACGUCAUAUGCUACACCCAUCCCGAGAAACUUCUAGGUAUCACACUGAGUGGCCUAAGCAAGCAUUUCUUCCAGCGCAAUUCCAGGGCGUUCAAAAGGGGCACAUGGACGUGUCGCAAGAUACAGUCGGAGUGCGGCAAUGCACGCGAUGUGGCACAACACUGGCAAUACCUUGCCGGUGAUGGUCAACGGCCUGUAGACGGGCAGCAAAAAGGUUCUGGUGCUGCACACCAACAAGAACUUCGAUCAGCAGAGGACCAACUGGGUGAUGCACCAAUACCACCUCGGGGACCUAGAGCAAGAGAAGGAGCGGGAGCUGGUCCUCUGCAAGAUUUUCUACCAGACGAACACUAG
rnacentral:rRNA from 1 species